rnacentral:lncRNA from 1 species
CAUCAUUCUGAGAGAAGACAAGGGCUCUACCUUGUCAGCCUGCAGACGUUAUCACCAGACUGGUGUCUGAAAUAGAGUCCUAGAGCAGCCUGCAGUUCAGCUACCCCUGGCCCAGCUGGAGCCCUAGUGCGGGCAGCCCCCAACCCCAGAUUAAAGUGUCUGUUUCCCCACACUGUUCCAGGCCAGAGUGGGGAAAAGAAUGGCAGUGGUGCUACGUCCCGUCUGCUGCGGCCCCGCAGCCUGAGAGAUGGUCUUGCUUUCUAGGUUCCGAGUCUGGAGAUGGCAAUGAAAGCAACGUUUACCCAGGCCGGGUCAUCUAGCAAGGGAGCUGGUCGUGGAGUGCGACAGAGACCUCUCCACCCAGAAGCCCUUUACGUGUCCCCCAGUGCCUCCCUUCUUCCCUCCUCUUUACUGAAACUGAAGCCAAUGUGUUCGCAGUUACCAUUUUCACCCGUGCCACUCCUUUUGGGGGUCUGGCUUGAGCAUCCAUGGGCAGCCACAGGGACCUUCCCAGCCAGCACAGGCAAAACAGCCGAGCCCCCAGUGUGCUGCCCUGCUGCUGCCCCUCAGCCCAGAAGCCUGGGCUCCCAGUGCUGAGGCCCUCUGUUCAGGCCUCAGCCCACCCUGAGUCGAGUGGAGCCAUGCAUUCAGUAAACUGACUUUAUUCUCCCAU